GCCUCAUUGGCUCAGUGGCAGAGCGUCUGUCUAGUAAACAGAAGGUCCACAGGUUUUUGCGCGAUAGGCCUAUAAUAGGUUGAGGCC
rnacentral:tRNA from 1 species